rnacentral:rRNA from 1 species
CCUACGGGUGGCAGCAGUGAGGAAUAUUGGUCAAUGGUCGGGAGACUGAACCAGCCAAGCCGCGUGAGGGAUGAAGGUACAGAGUAUCGUAACCCUCUUUUGUCAGGGAACAAAGACUGUGACGCGUCCCCGGAUGAGUGUACCUGAAGAAAAAGCAUCGGCUAACUCCGUGCCAGCAGCCGCGGUAAUACGGAGGAUGCGAGCGUUAUCCGGAUUUAUUGGUUUUAAGGGGUGCGCAGGCGGUCUUUAACGUCAGCGGGCAAAGCCCGGGGCUCAACCCCGGCCCGCCGUUGAAACUGGCAGUCUCGAGUUGGAGAGAAGUAUGCGGAAUGCGCGGUGUAGCGGUGAAAUGCAUAGAUAUCGCGCAGAACUCCGAUUGCGAAGGCAGCAUGCCGGCUCCACACUGACGCUGAGGCACGAAAGCGUGGGUAUCGAACAGGAUUAGAUACCCCAGUAGUC